rnacentral:rRNA from 1 species
AUUGAACGCUGGCGGCAUGCCUUACACAUGCAAGUCGAGCAGCAGCGCGGGGGCAACCCUGGCAGCGAGCGGCGAACGGGUGAGUAAUACAUCGGAACGUGUCCAGUAGUGGGGGAUAACCUGUCGAAAGAUAGGCUAAUACCGCAUACGAUCUACGAAUGAAAGCGGGGGACCGCAAGGCCUCGCGCUAUUGGAGCGGCCGAUGUCGGAUUAGCUAGUUGGCGGGGUAAAAGCCCACCAAGGCGACGAUCCGUAGCUGGUCUGAGAGGACGACCAGCCACACUGGAACUGAGACACGGUCCAGACUCCUACGGGAGGCAGCAGUGGGGAAUUUUGGACAAUGGGGGCAACCCUGAUCCAGCCAUGCCGCGUGAGUGAAGAAGGCCUUCGGGUUGUAAAGCUCUUUCGGCGGGGACGAAACGGUUCGUGCCAACACCACGGACUAAUGACGGUACUCGCAGAAGAAGCACCGGCUAACUACGUGCCAGCCGCCGCUGUAA